rnacentral:rRNA from 1 species
CCUACGGGCGGCAGCAGUGAGGAAUAUUGGUCAAUGGCCGGAAGGCUGAACCAGCCAUGCCGCGUGAAGGUCAGUGCCCUAUGGGCGUUAAACUUCUUUUGUGCGGGAGCAAUAAUGGUCACGUGUGGCCAGACGAGAGUACCGUACGACUAAGCAUCGGCUAACUCCGUGCCAGCAGCCGCGGUAAUACGGGGGGUGCAAGCGUUAUCCGGAUUUAUUGGGUUUAAAGGGUGCGUAGGCUGUGAGGUAAGUCAGCGGUGAAAUGCCCCCGCUCAACGGGGUGAAGUGCCAUUGAUACUGCCUUGCUGGAAUGCGGAUGCCGUGGGAGGAAUGUGUGGUGUAGCGGUGGAAUGCAUAGAUAUCACACAGAACACCGAGUGCGAAGGCAUCUCACGAAUCCGCGAUUGACGCUGAUGCACGAAAGCGUGGGUAUCAAACAGGAUUAGAUACCCCAGUAGUC